AACAAGAUGUUGAAUGGAACGAAGUAGGGAUAAAGCCAAUGUUUCAGAAAGCUAGUGGCUGCUGCGAACUAGCACAUGCUUUAAAACGAAGUACAUUCCAGGAGUCUUUGACAGAAAUGUCACGCGGCAGCGUUAAAUGCUUGAGUGAUACGUUUUUACGUAUAAAUUGGGUGGUACCGCGAUUUUUCGUCCCUUGG
rnacentral:ncRNA from 1 species